GCAGCAGUGAGGAAUAUUGGUCAAUGGGCGGAAGCCUGAACCAGCCAUGCCGCGUGCGGGAAGAAGGCGCUACGCGUCGUAAACCGCUUUUGUCCGGGGGUAACCGNNGGGACGUGUCCCNNCCUGCAAGUACCGGACGAAUAAGGGUCGGCUAACUCCGUGCCAGCAGCCGCGGUAAUACGGAGGACCCGAGCGUUAUCCGGAUUCAUUGGGUUUAAAGGGUGCGCAGGCGGCCCGGUCAGUCAGCGGUGAAAUGCCCGCGCUUCACGCGGGAGCUGCCGUUGAUACUGCCGGGCUAGAAUCUCAGCGAGGCGGGCGGAAUGCGCGGUGUAGCGGUGAAAUGCAUAGAUAUCGCGCAGAACGCCGAUUGGGGAGCCAGCUCGCCAGCUGGGUAUUGACGCUGAGGCACGAAAGCGUGGGGAUCGAACAGGAUUAGAUACCCUGGUAGUCCACGCCGUAAACGAUGAUGGCUCGCUCUUGGCUGGAAACGGUCAGGGGCUUAGCGAAAGCGUUAAGCCAUCCACCUGGGGAGUACGCCGGCAACGGUGAAACUCAAAGGAAAUUGACGG
rnacentral:rRNA from 1 species